rnacentral:misc_RNA from 1 species
CCAAUAGCGUAUAUUAAAGUUGUUGUGGUUAAAAAGCUCGUAGUUGAACCUUGGGCCUGGCUGGCCGGUCCGCCUCACCGCGUGUACUGGUCCGGCCGGGCCUUUCCCUCUGUGGAACCCCAUGCCCUUCACUGGGUGUGGCGGGGAAACAGGACUUUUACUUUGAAAAAAUUAGAGUGCUCCAGGCAGGCCUAUGCUCGAAUACAUUAGCAAGGAAUAAUAGAAUAGGACGUGUGGUUCUAUUUUGUUGGUUUCUAGGACCGCCGUAAUGAUUAAUAGGGACAGUCGGGGGCAUCAGUAUUCGAUUGUCAGAGGUGAAAUUCUUGGAUUUAUCGAAGACUAACUACUGCGAAAGCAUUUGCCAAGGAUGUUUUCAUUAAUCAGGAACGAAAGUUAGGGGAUCGAAGACGAUCAGAUACCGUCGUAGUCUUAACCAUAAACUAUGCCGACUAGGGAUCGGACGAUGUUAUUUUUUGACUCGUUCGGCACCUUCCG